GGACGUUUAGCUCAGCUGGUCUAGAGCGUUCGCCUCACACGCGAAAGGUCGUAGGUUCAAAUCCUACAACGUCCA
rnacentral:tRNA from 1 species